UUAGUAAAUAAUAUAGUCGCUUGAGGGAAACUUCAAGAGGAAAGUCCGGACACCAUAGGGCAAUAGUGCUAGAUAACGUCUAGUGAGGGUGACCUUAAGGAAAGUGCAACAGAAAAUAACCGCCAUGAUAAAUGGUAAGGGUGAAAAUGUGAGGUAAGAGCUCACAAGCAUUUAUGGUGACAUAUUUGCGGUGUAAACCCCACUUGGUGCAACACCAAAAUAAGAAGGCUAAGACGGCCCGUCAUCUUCUGUGGUUGGUGGCUUGAAAUAUAUAGUGAUAUAUAUUCUAGAUAAAUGACUAUUUGAAACAGAAUCCGGCUUACGAAUUUACUAAUUAU
rfam:Clostridium sp. CAG:1219 genomic scaffold, scf62